AUUUAUUUGGCUUUGUUUAAAAAAGAGAGAGAGAGAGACAGACAGAAUCUUAUUUUGAAUGUGAUGGAAAGCAAACCUCCAGCAGCAAAUGAACCCGAAAAGAAGGGUGAUGUCGAAAUAACGAAGGCUGUAAUGAUGCAAAGCCAGGCUUCGCUACCAGAUAAUAUGGCAUAGAGAGCGUUUACAUACUCACAUCUGAAAUACUAGGCAACAUGUAAUGAAUUCUACACAGCACGCACACACAGCACAGCACGGCUAAUCCUGCCUGCCAUCUUAGGCUCACACAAGCAAGAUACGCACUGCAUGCAGCCCACAAGCGAGCCAGCGCGAGGGAAGGAGGAGGAGGCAAGGGACAGCUCACCUUAAAUGCAGUAUCUGAUUAAUGUUGUAAGUGACAUUGCAUAUCAGCCUCAGAGUCUUGGCUCAACUGGGUAGGAGGGAACAAAGAAAAAUGUCAUCAACUGGUGAUGCAAGAUGAGCCCAAUCACUAACCACUGUUUAGCAAACUCCAAAUUCUGCAACCAGGCAGUAGAAGGCAUUCCAUGCACUGAAGCAGAGCGGCUGCACAAUGAAGGAGUCCUUCUGCUUCUGAAAAAUCAAGCAGUCCUUUUGCUAAGGAAGAAAAUCAGCUGGAAUGAGCACAGUCAUGUCCUCUUCUUGGAGAAAGCUUGCAAUACACGCUCAGAUCUUUCAGCCAGAGGAAUGGCAGAUUGGCACAGCCUCGCUUCAAGACAGCCUCAUCUGUAAAAUCAUAUUUAAAACGUAAAACACAAGACCUUCAAAACAUAGACUGAAGUGUGAUGGUUCACCUCAUAGGAUGUUGACUCACCAGAGAUUUGUGUUUCUCGCUAAAAGACAAACUUCUCCACUGCCUUAACGUGAAGGUCAUUUUCUAAGAUACACGCAACCACAUUAGCGCGUGAAGAACCGACUUAAUGUGCUGAGGAAAAUCUGCAGAAAAGAGACCGUCACUUGGGAGGUGACUUGAGAAGCCAGGAGAACUGAGUUACAGCUCUAGGUCUGUCAGCUCUGUGACUCUCACGC